rnacentral:tRNA from 1 species
GCGAGGGUGGCGGAACUGGCAGACGCGCUGGAUUUAGGAUCCAGUCCCAUUAAGGGAUGGGGGUUCGAGUCCCCCCUCUCGCACGA